AAUGAACGCUGGCGGCAGGCCUAACACAUGCAAGUCGAGCGGAGUGGCGGACGGGCGAGUAAUGCCUAGGUAUCUGCCCGGCAGUUGGGGAUAACGUCCGGAAUCGGGCCCUAAUACCGUACCCUUAUAGAUGAGCCUAGGUCGGAUUAGCUAGUUGGUGGGGUAAAGGCUUACCAAGGCGACGAUCCGUAACUGGUCUGAGAGGAUGAUCAGUCACACUGGAACUGAGACACGGUCCAGACUCCUACGGGAGGCAGCAGUGGGGAAUAUUGGGCAAUGGGCGAAAGCCUGAUCCAGCCAUGCCGCGUGUGUGAAGAAGGUCUUCGGAUUGUAAAGCACUUUAAGUUGGGAGGCGUUACCAACAGAAUAAGCACCGGCUAACUACGUGCCAGCAGCCGCGGUAAUAC
rnacentral:rRNA from 1 species